GACGAACGCUGGCGGCGUGCCUAAUACAUGCAAGUCGAACGAACCGACGAGGAUCUUGCGUCUCUGAUGUUAGCGGCGGAGGGGAGAGUCACACGUGUAUAACCUACCUAUAAGACUGUUAUAACUUCGAGAAACCGGCGCUUAUAGCGGAUAAUCUUUUGAACCUCAUGGGUCAAGAGUGAGAUACGGUCGUUGGGUCAGUUAUAGAUGCAUCCGCGCUGCAUUAGCUAGUUGGUAAGGUAGCGGCUUACCAAGGCGAGGAUGCAUAGCACACCUCAGAGGGUGAUCGGCCACACUGGCAGAGAGACAGGGUCCAGACACUUACGGGAGGACGCAGCCGGGAAUCCUACGCAAUGGGGGAGAGCCUGACGGAGCAAAGCGGAGUGAGUGAUGACGGUGCUAGGACCGGAAAACUAUGUUAUUAGGGAAGAACAUAUGUGCAAGUAACUGUGACGAUAUUGACGGUACCCAGUCAGAAAGCCCCGGCUAACUACGUG
rnacentral:rRNA from 1 species